rnacentral:lncRNA from 1 species
ACAAGCCAGGGGUCUCGAGGGCUAGAAUACAGAAGCUCGAUAAACACACGAGUCACCGGAAGCAACAAUAUAUGAGUACAUAUAUUAAAACAUGAGGUUCCUUAGAGAAUGCUAGCACAAAAGAUACAACGAUCGAACGAGGCAAGGCCUCCUGCCUGGGAGCCUCCUAACUACUCCUGGUCUUCAGCGACCUCCACAUCGUAGCAGGCACCGUCGGGGUAAUAGUCGUCGUAGGCGGGGAUACUCCAACUUUCGGGCUCCAUCAUAUG